GCCUGGCUAGCUCAGUCGGUAGAACAUUAGACUCUUAAUCUUAGGGUCGUGAGUUCGAGCCCCAUGUUGGGCG